rnacentral:lncRNA from 1 species
ACGAUUCUAGAUCAUCCGUAUCUUCCUCAAUCCAAUCAGAUCCAUCUUCCUCCGCCGAAUUCAAAUCCAGCAAGGCCAUUGUCAGAUCCAAACCUUCCUACUUAACCAAAACAGCUAAACACGAUGCUAAUCCUGGGAACCUCACUUGUAUGAUGAAGAAGCUCAUGGACAUGAAGAAAUCUAAUCCCAAGGGCAAAAGGGUCGAGCUUGUGAUUCCCCAUGAACUCAAGAAGCUUGAUACUGUUCGAGGAGGAGGGAAGAGUGCAUUGGGAACACUGCAGAGGAAGCUGUUCGGGAAGGAGAAGGAAAAGGUGAAGGCUUUGACAGAGGUUAAAGGGAACACGAGGACUCUCUCUAUGGUUCUGAGAAGCGAGAGGGAGCUCCUGAGCAUGAACAAGGACCAGGAGAUUGAAAUCUCUGAGCUUAAGUUUCAGCUUGAAGAGAAGAACCGAGAAGUAAUUGCUUCAUUCAUUCACUCCUCUCUUUAAAAGCUCGAUUUAGCUGUUUAGGGGUUUUGCUUCAGAUAGGUUCAUGAAGAGGAGAUUAGUAUUAAUGGGUUUUGGAUAAAGUUGAUAUUUUUGUUUGUUGUGCAGGUGGAGAAGUUGAAGGAUCUCUGUCUGAAGCAAAGGGAGGAGAUAAAGUCGCUGAAAAGCGCGCUUCUGUUUCCAGAUGGGAUGAACAGCGAAAUGCAGGAGCUGAAUGAGGCGAGGCAGAUCAUCCCUAACCUUCAGAAGCAGGUUCUUUCACUCAAUGGACAGCUCCAAUGCAUUGCUCAAGACCUUGCCGAGGUACUUUUGCUUCUUCUUUUUGUUUUUGUUUACCUGAAUAGUGGAUAACAUGUGAUGUAGAGGGAGUCUUGUGUUAGUGAGCUACCUUAGUUGGUUUGUAGUGGAUUUAAGCCUUGUGCGGACACUUGACAUUUCAUAAACUAUAAGUCGAGUCAGUUAUAGCCAAAGAGCUAAUUUAGCAUAAAUGGAAGUUCAGGCACAAGAGGGCUCUGGUCUAGUACAUUGGGAUUUAGAUUUGAGACAUCUCCAGUAAUUACUAUCUCGGUUGUUCAAUAGUUUCUGUUUCCAUUUUGAUCAUCCAUUCUUCUUGUAAAGGUUGAUUUAAUCAAGGAGGAUUAAUAAAAGAUAAUUAAUACUUUUUAUGAAUCUAUCAUGUAGCUUAUGGGACUUGAAUCUUGAGUAUAAUGAAUGGUUCACUCUUGGGAAGUUUAUUCAGGGCAUUGCUGCAGCAACAGUUCAUCACUAUAUAUAGCUUUUAGUAGUAUUGUCUGAUAAUAAACACAAUUGGGUUCUUUCUUAUCAGGUGAAGGCGAACAAGUACAUAUCAGAAAGCUGUUACUGGCAAGCACAGACUUCUUCCUAUGAUUCACUGGUAAGCAAAAUAGGAUCAAAAGUAGGGAACUUUGAAGAGUCUUAGUUUGGAAACCAACAAACAUUACUGGCAGGGUCUUAUUAUUUUUGAAUGCAUUAUAUCAGGAAUUCAGCUCAGGCAGCCCUGAUAGAUUGGCUCUGGAAGAUCUGAAUCCGUGCUUAACCCCUUAUGCCAAGAUAAAGCCCAAGGUACUUGCUUUUUAACCUUGACAGGCAAAAAGGUCACCUUGUUGGCCAUUGGCUCACAAGGUAGACGCGGCUUAAAACCUUUUAUAUGUCUUUGCACAGGAGUUUGCGAGGGUGGAUUCAGCAGAAGAGAGCUUAUCGGGGAGAAGUACUGUAACAAAUACAGGAGGUAAAGGCAAAUCUAGUUCAAAAAGUGUGAAGAUGUCAAGGAGCUCAGAGGGAAAGGCAGGACAUAGAUCAGAAGAGAGCACAGGAUGGCAUAGAGGUGGGAGAAUGUUUUAAGGUAAAACAAAAAUGCUUCAACAUGUAAGCUUGCACCUUCUUCUUUUUCCACUUUGGUAUAUGUGUAUGUCUCUUGCUCUCAUUCUCAGAGAGUAGUAUGAUUUUGGUAGAAUCAUGUGGAGACAUGAUCCGAGACUGAGUUGAACAAGUUAAAAAAGUGUUAUGUAAAAUAGAUGCCUUUUUAUAAUAAGAUAAGGUAUUAUAGAUGAAGAGAGAUCAGAUUUGUUUAAUUUGCGUUCUAUUCUUCUCAAUUUGAUGACCACAUGAUAAAAUCAUCAUUAGUUUUGUUGUUAAUAUACAAUCGACGUAUUAACAGAGAUCAUCAAAGACAUUAGACAGAACAAUAUCUAUACAAGUUUUAUAAAGAAAAACAAGUCCUACUGUUUUACCAAUAAUCGUUAUUUUUUAUACAGCUGACAGUGACAUUUACCUAAGUAACAACUACUCCAGUACGAGUAUACAAUUUUACAUAACUUAAGUAUGAGGAUUAGACAAGAGGAAUAUUGUUAAUUUGCCAGGUUCUGGUCAAAUGUUGAUCCCAUGCUUAUCGUUAGAACAUAGAUAUUUUUAAAGAAGAACGGUAUUCCAUCCAUGAUUCAUAGUUAUUACGUCUCGUGCUCCUACGUAAGCGUUUCUUGUUUGAACAACGUCAGCCUUUCUUUUCUCUGUGGGUGAUUACAGUUUCACAGAAGUUACCUUUCUGCCAAUAAUUUUACAUUUGUUUUUUCUUUUGGCUUUAGUCUUUCUUUAUAGGACCAAAAAGAGGGAUUGGCAAAGUGAAUAAAUAAAGUAGUCCUGUUCUUCUGUCCAUCCAUGAGUUAUGAUAAUUAUAAUACUUGUAAAACGGAGUUGCAAUAUUACUUCAAACUAUAGUUGAAUACGAUAGAGAGAGGAGGCAACUGAUAUUGUAAGUUAUUUUUAAUGGAACAUUAUUGUAUGCAAAACCCCAAGCUGUUUAGUUUUUUUUUUGGUAAUCAAGCUGUUCAGACUUUGUCGGAAGAAAUUGCUGUGUCCUAAUAUACGACGAGACAGAGUGAAAUUGCUGUUCAUACUUUUCUAUCACAUCCCUCUUCUUCUUUUUUUACCUUUCUAUCGCUUCUGAAAAUGCGAGAAAGAAAAAAGAAAACGUGUUAAUUUAAGGAUUUGUUUCUCUAUUUAUAGUCAUGUUUCUGUUUCGUCACCCUUACAAAACACAAUCUGUGGGCAUAAUUUUGCCAUGCAAUUCACAUUUUUGUAUCCAUAUAUCCAGACAUCUCUUUACAACACUAACUAACAAAACACUAAAUGGAAAAGGACAGGUGUCAGAGAGUGAGAGGAGAUUAGGAGGUUCCACGAAUGUCCUUAAUAUCUAGGCCCUGGAUUUUUCUCCUACGUGAUAUGUGAUGUAACGCAAACGCGUUCUCUAUCUCCUUUUCCUCUUUAGCCCUUCGCGUUACUCUUCUUUUUACUAUUUUGCCAUCUGACCUCCGUACAAGUUCUGAAAGAUAUUUAAAACGACAUGUACACAGUACACAAAAGUCUGCCAGUUGAAUAUUCGUACGUGACAGAGAUUGUGUAUUAUUCUCCAAGGCCAGAGUUACAGGGCCAACGCAAAUCUUGGAAUGGUAAAAAGAAUAAAAAGAACAAUGGAAUUUUUUUUUGUGGGCAAUACUAAUCUAAAUAUAUGCAACAAUACAGCCUAUGCAUACAUUUUUUUUUGGGUAAAACAGCCUAUGCAUACAUAUUUACGAAGAUUUCAUUUUAUGAUAUUUUCCACUUUUCUAACAACAAAUCUGAGAAAUUUAUGAUAGAUUGGAACUUAAGGUAGCUCAAACAGUGUACGAGCUAUUGCUAAUUAGUAGACUCCCAAACUAUUAAAUUCUUUAUAAAAAGUUUACAACUUUCAAAGCCUCCAAAAUUUAGGGAUAAGUUUUUGAAGGACAUUAACACUUAUCCAAUAACAACUCUCCCCUUUAAACAAAUGAAAACGAUAUGAAUUGAAAUACCUAAAAUAUUGUUUUGUUAGAUCAAGAUAAGUGUUAAAUUAUAACUAAAAAAUAUUAUAAAAUUAACAAAUGUUCCACACGAAAUGCAGAAAAAUAAAUUAUCAAAAUAGAUAAUAGAUACAAAUGUAUAAUUGCAAUAUUAAAAAUUUGAAAUACGUAUAAUUGUAAUUUUUGGUAUUACAAUUUAAAGAUAACUUACAAUUUAAAUAAACUAUACAUUUUAAAAUAUUUUUAAAAAAUAUGAUACAUUAUGUACUUUUUUUAGUUACUAACCCGCCCUACGGGCGGGUCAAAUCCUAGUAUUGAAUAAUUUAUGUGUCGAGUUCAUCGUCAAACAAUGUUAUUAAAUUAAACGGUUGACAAAAAUUCAAAAAAAAAAACAUACAAUAACGGUUAAAUCUUUUUUAAGCCCAUUAUGGGCCCAAUAGAGAUAAAAAAAAAGUUAAUUUUAGGUAGAAACAAAGAACCAAAUUUGAAAUUUGAAGAGAGAGAGAGUGUGGUGACACUAGAAGCCAAAUAUUCCCUCUGCUUCUUCCACAAAUUCAAAAAUCACACACACUUACAGAUCGAUCCUCCUUCCCUGCAACUACAACCUUCCUCCUCGAGCCUCCCUACCCAGAAAAAAAUGGCAGCUCGAUACAACUCUUACGAUUCUAGAUCAUCCGUAUCUUCCUCAAUCCAAUCAGAUCCAUCUUCCUCCGCCGAAUUCAAAUCCAGCAAGGCCAUUGUCAGAUCCAAACCUUCCUACUUAACCAAAACAGCUAAACACGAUGCUAAUCCUGGGAACCUCACUUGUAUGAUGAAGAAGCUCAUGGACAUGAAGAAAUCUAAUCCCAAGGGCAAAAGGGUCGAGCUUGUGAUUCCCCAUGAACUCAAGAAGC